CCUAGAAGGGAAGCAGAGGGAAGGAAGCUCUCGCGGGCCAACUGUCACCGGGCAGGGCACAAAAGCAGGACCACACAGGACCAAGACUUGGAACCCCUAUCUCCUGACCGCAAGAAUGUGCUACACUCCCGAUGCUAAGGUGGUUGUGAAAUGCUAAGGAAUGCAGUUUCAGCUUUAAAAGAGUGCUUUGUUGAGUCUAACAAAUACUUGGAAUACUCUGUCAGCUUCUCUGUUACUGUCAACCUUCCAGCCGGAAAACUUCCAGAGUGACUCCUCUGACCCCGUGCCAAUCCUGAGCAGGGGGACCCUGACACAGCCUAGGGAUGCAGGGGUAGGCUGGAGGCAGUGUGGCCCAAUGGUGAGAGCGCCCGGGGGGCAGGGGUGCAUGUGUGCGGGCUGGUCUCGCACUCCAUGAAGAACAAGGUCUGUCUCCGUGCCUGGCACAGUGGACGCUGAGCAAGCAGGCCACCCUAGCCUUCCCCAGCCUGUGGACAGCGUGCAAAAGUGAAAUCUGCAGGCAAGGCCAAGGGGUGCUUUGGGAGACGGGAGAGACAAGGCCAAGGCCCGGAGCUAGACACAGAAAAAAUGUGCACGUUCGCUCAGACCUCCUUCCCAAGCGGCCCCAAAACUGC